rnacentral:rRNA from 1 species
UAUUAAGUCGGAUGUGAAAUCCCCGAGCUUAACUUGGGAAUUGCAUUCGAUACUGGUGAGCUAGAGUAUGGGAGAGGAUGGUAGAAUUCCAGGUGUAGCGGUGAAAUGCGUAGAGAUCUGGAGGAAUACCGAUGGCGAAGGCAGCCAUCUGGCCUAAUACUGACGCUGAGGUACGAAAGCAUGGGGAGCAAACAGGAUUAGAUACCCUGGUAGUCCAUGCCGUAAACGAUGUCUACUAGCCGUUGGGGCCUUUGAGGCUUUAGUGGCGCAGCUAACGCGAUAAGUAGACCGCCUGGGGAGUACGGUCGCAAGACUAAAACUCAAAUGAAUUGACGGGGGCCCGCACAAGCGGUGGAGCAUGUGGUUUAAUUCGAUGCAACGCGAAGAACCUUACCUGGCCUUGACAUACUAGAAACUUUCCAGAGAUGGAUUGGUGCCUUCGGGAAUCUAGAUACAGGUGCUGCAUGGCUGUCGUCAGCUCGUGUCGUGAGAUGUUGGGUUAAGUCCCGCAACGAGCGCAACCCUUUUCCUUACUUGCCAGC